rnacentral:lncRNA from 1 species
GUUUAUUACAGGAUAUUGAGUAUAGUUCCCUGUGCUAUACAGUAGGACUCUGUUGUGUAUCCAAGUUAUAUAUUAUCUCAAACUCCUAAUAUCUCCCUCCCUCAUCCCCUUUCCCCUUUGGUUACUGUAAGUUUGUUUCCUGUCUGUGAAUUUGUUUCCAUUUGGUAAACAGGUUCAUUUGUGUCAUAUUUUAGAUCCUACAAAUAAGUGAUAUCAAUAGUAUUUGUCUUUCUCUUUCUGACUUACUCCACUUAGUAUGAUAAUGUCUAGGUCCACUCAUGUUGCUGCAAAUAUAUUAUGUGAUAUAUACAGAUAUAUUACAUCUUCUCUGUCCAGUCCCCUGUUGGUGGACAUGGAGGUUGCUUCCAUGUCUUGGCUAUUGUAAAUAGUGCUGCAGUGAACAUUGAGAUGCAUGUAUCAUUUCAAAUUAGCAUUUUCUGGAUAUAUGUCCAGGAGUGGGAUUGCUAGAUCCUAUGGCAAUGUUAUUUUUAGUGUUUUAAGGAACCCUCCGUCCUGUUCUCUAUAGUGGCCACACCAAUUUACAUUCCUGCCAGCAGUGUAGAAGGAUUGCCUUUUCUCCCCACCCUCUCCAGCAUUUGUUUGUAGACUUUUUAAUGACGUUAAGGAGAAUUUCUUUGGCCUGACCUCUCCAUCUUUCCCCUCCUCUAUCGCUGCACCUCUCAAGGCACUCAAGGCCCAACUUACCCCAGACUUCCUCCCUCCCGGAAGGGUCUCCUGACCUCUCCAGCCUCAUAGCCCGCUCGCACUGACCUCCAACCAGCCUGCUGCAAAGCUCUAGGCUCACAUUUAGGGCGUUCCUGCCUCCUGUCAGUCACCGAGGCUGGUAAGUGCUCCCACAUGCCCACUCCCUGAAAGACAGACGAGGCAACCCCAUUGAAAGGGAAGACACAGGCUCAGCGAGGUUCCGUAACGUCCCCCAGAUUACCUAGCUGGUUAGUGAAAUAACCGAGACUUAAAUUCAAGACUGACAACCGACCUCAAAACCUUUGCUCUAAACCAGGUGCCAGCAAACUAUACGGGCCUGAAGGCCAAAUUCUGCCCACUAUCUGUUUUUCUACAGCUUGAGAGCUAAAAAUGGUUUUCACAUGACCGGGGGCGGGGGGGGGAUCAAAAGAAACAUAAGAUUUUGGCACAUGUGAAAAUCACAGGAAACUAACAUUUCAGUGUCCAUUAAUAACGUUUUAUUGGACAUGGUGGUGUGGUGGUUGUUUUCAUCAUGGCAUGCAGCAGCUUGAUGUGGGAUCUCAGUUCCCAGACCAGGGAUUGAACCCAGGCUGCAGCGGUAAAAGCACUGAGUCCUAACCACUAGACCACCAGGGAACUCCCUUAAUAAAGUUUUCUUGGCGCACACCAACACCCAUUCAUUUAGAUCUCUUUGAUGGCUUUUUCGUGAACUACAGUGGCAGAGCUGAGUCGUAGUGACAGGGACCAGCCUACAAGGGUUCCCAUUUGGCCCUUCACAGAAGACCUUUGCCGACCCCUGCUCCGAAAGGCACCAUUGAUGAGCCACAGCUCCACGGAGUUCUGAACACCCUGCCUGCCUUGACAGGCUGCUGUCUUUCUCUGGGUGCUGAGCCCACUGUAGGAUCUCAGAGGGAAAACAAAAUAGAUUUUAGCCCCCUUUGGACUUCCAGGUACUAAAGAUGUGCACCAGAAGUUCCCGUCGUGGCACAGCGGAAACGACCCCGACUAGGAACCGUGAGGUUGUGGGUUCGAUCCCUGGCCUUGUUCAAAAGGGCUUUGUUGUUCACUUUUUAGAAAUGAUAUGCUAUAGAGGGUUUAGCAAGCAGAGAGUUAUGUUGUCCAUAACUUAUUAUGGCUAAUGUUACUUCUACACUAAUCUUGCCUUUUUUUGUUGAGGGGAAGUGGGAGAGGAGAGGCCGAGAGGAGGAGAAAUACUCGAAGUGCUACAGCAGUAGUUUUCAGACUUCGCCUCCCGGGUCAGGGUUGGGGCCUGAGAAUCUGCAUUUCGCACAGAGUCCCAGGCGGCACCCCUCUGAGGACUCCUCCACUCUGUCAAAAGGCCUAGAAGACCGCUGGGCAGCUAUAGGAGGUGGGGCCAGGGCUUCCUUGCCUGAGGGGGGGGCAGGGGGAGCACGGAAAGUUCUUACUGUCCCAGCAGACCCGUUUCUUGAAGGAAGGGACAGGCUCCCAGGACCCCAGGGAUCAGCCUGGUUGGCCCCAGACCCAGAAUGUAUGGGGGUGAAGGCCUAGUCAAAGGCUCCCCCCACCCCACCCCCCUCAGAGAGGGGACUGAGGCUGGAAAGGCGGGGAAGGGCUGGGUUUCCCCAGAUCAAAGCUGGUUCCCCAGCCUUUGAUUCGCAAACAAGCAGACUCUUUAGAGGCUGGCCCGGAGUUUGGGGCAGGCUGGCCUUGGGGCCUGGGGUGAGUGGUCAGAGGCCCCCAGCCCGCUCUCUUUUUGCAUAACAGCUUGGCUGUCUAACAAAAGGACAGUCCUUGAAAGGCCGUAUGGGGCUGUUAAAAGCUUCCGGCAAUGGUUUAAUUGGGGGCGAUUAAAGUGUCCACCCCAGGAAGGCCUGCCCUUCAAAGGCCAACCAGGCCUGGCUCCCCUGCCCUCAGCACCUCUCCCCUCGGCCACGCCCCCGGUGGUAGCCCUGCCCCCAGCCUCUCCCCUCCGCCCCCUCAGCUACCCUGUGGCUCCCUGCCGACUGAGGAAGUCAGGGACAGGGACCCUUUGGCCAGCCUGUCUGGGGGGAUUCCGUCCUGGCCCCUGGACCAUCAGGACCAUUUGUUCGCACAGUUUGGUCUCGUGGCUGAGUCAGUGUGGGAGGUGGGGAAGGCUGAGUCGGAGACAGAAAGGGCCCCAGACUGGUCCACCCGGCUCACUCUGGCUGCCUCAGGACACCUAGCCUGCCUGGUCUCUGGCCCCUCCUUGAGCUCCCUUACCAGCCCCUCUCCCCAAGGCCCUGGCCCAUCUGCAACUUCAUGGUCACCGUUGGGGGACCCACACAUUAAUCUUCCAGACAUGACCUGAGAGGUGCUGGGGACUCAGAGGUGACCAGACAGGAACCAUGACUCAUAAAGGUGCCGGAUAAGUGAACAGGCAGAAGCAACAGGGCGCAAUAUAGGUAAAAUGAGGUGAGCUAUAAGCAGGGCCCCUGCCUCUGGUGGGGCUCAGGGAGCAGAGGGGCAAGCAACAUGACCUUCUGGAAGCAACAGAGCCUACAGUGAGAACAGGGCCACUCAGUCUGGCUCAUUUGCCAACCAUGAUGGGAAGAGCUACACCACAGCUGGUUUCACUAAAAGACCUGACCCACCCAACCAGUUGGAGGAUCCUUGGAAGGGGAAGUGGGUAGAGGUUCCAUCAAGUCUCGAAAUCAUUGUUCUGUGGGUAUCUGGCUCAGACAACUCCCCAGAG